GUGCCAGCCGCCGCGGUAAUACGUAGGCGGCAAGCGUUAUCCGGAAUUAUUGGGCGUAAAGCGCGCGUAGGCGGUUUUUUAAGUCUGAUGUGAAAGCCCACGGCUCAACCGUGGAGGGUCAUUGGAAACUGGAAAACUUGAGUGCAGAAGAGGAAAGUGGAAUUCCAUGUGUAGCGGUGAAAUGCGCAGAGAUAUGGAGGAACACCAGUGGCGAAGGCGACUUUCUGGUCUGUAACUGACGCUGAUGUGCGAAAGCGUGGGGAUCAAACAGGAUUAGAU
rnacentral:rRNA from 1 species